GACGAACGCUGGCGGCGUGCCUAAUACAUGCAAGUCGAGCGAAGUUUUUCUGGUGCUUGCACUAGAAAACUUAGCGGCGAACGGGUGAGUAACACGUAAAGAACCUGCCUCAUAGACUGGGACAACUAUUGGAAACGAUAGCUAAUACCGGAUAACAGCAUUAACUGCAUGGUUGAUGUUUAAAAGUGGUUUUGCUAACACUAUGAGAUGGCUUUGCGGUGCAUUAGCUAGUUGGUGGGGUAAAGGCCUACCAAGGCGACGAUGCAUAGCCGACCUGAGAGGGUGAUCGGCCACACUGGGACUGAGACACGGCCCAGACUCCUACGGGAGGCAGCAGUAGGGAAUC
rnacentral:rRNA from 1 species